rnacentral:rRNA from 1 species
AACGCGAAGAACCUUACCUGGCCUUGACAUGCAUCUCUCUAAGUUGGUGAAUGCCAGCGAGUGUAGCAAUACACAAUUUGCACAGGUGCAGCAUGGCUGUCGUCAGUCGUGUCGUGAGAUGUUGGGUUAAGUCCCGCAACGAGCGCAACCCCUGUGAACUGUUGCCAUGGAGGCGUGAGUCUCCGGCACCUCUGUUCAGACUGCCCUGUUCAACGGGGAGGAAGGUGGGGACGACGUCAAGUCAGUAUGGCCCUUACGGCCAGGGCUGCACACGUACUACAAUGCCCGGCACAGAAUGAUCCGAGAUCGCGAGGUGGAGGAAAUCCCUAAAGCCGGUCCCAGUUCGGAUUGGAGGCUGCAACUCGCCUCCAUGAAGCCGGAAUCGCUAGUAAUGGCGCAUCAG